AACGAACGCUGGCGGCAGGCCUAACACAUGCAAGUCGAGCGCCCCGCCAGGGGAGCGGCAGACGGGUGAGUAACGCGUGGGAACGUACCCUUUGCUACGGAAUAGCUCCGGGAAACUGGUAUUACUACCGUAUGUGCCCUCCGGGGGAAAGAUUUAUCGGCAAAGGAUAGGCCCGCGUUGGAUUGGCUAGUUGGUGGGGUAAUGGCCUACCAAGGCGACGAUCCAUAGCUGGUCUGAGAGGAUGAUCCGCCACAUCGUGACUGAGACACGGCCCAAACUCCUACGGGAGGCAGCAGUGGGGAAUAUUGGACAAUGGGCGCAAGCCUGAUCCAGCCAUGCCGCGUGAGUGAUGAAGGCCUUAGGGUUGUAAGGCUCUUUCACCGGAGAAGAUAAUGACGGUAUCCGGAGAAGAAGCCCCGGCUAACUUCGUGCCAGCCGCCGCCGUAACAC
rnacentral:rRNA from 1 species